rnacentral:rRNA from 1 species
GGGGUCAAAUUAAUUAUAGAAAUUAAUUUAAUAAAAGAAAUUUUAAAAUUGAAAAUAUUUAAUGGGGGUUAAAGUAUUUUUAAUAGAAAAAAUUUGAAAUUUUAUAGUAAAUUAGUAUUGUGAAAGAAUUUUGAAAUAAUAAUUUAAAGAGUAAUUAAUUUAAAAGUAAAUUUUAUUUAUUGUAUCUUGUGUAUCAGAGUUUAUUAAAAAUUUUUUAUUUAUUUAAAUUUCUCGAAUUUAAAAGAGUUAAUUAAUUAAAAAAAUUAUUGUUUCAUAAAUAUUUUAAAUAGUUAAUUAGAAAUGAAAUGUUAUUCGUUUUUAAAUAUAUCUAGUUAUUUUAGAAAAAAAUUUAAUUUUUAAUUUAAAUUUGAAAUUAUUUAAUUAAUUAAAUAAUUUCAAAUUUAAAUUUGAUAUUUUAAGGGAUAAGCUUUAAUUUAAAUUUUUAUAAUAAAUAUUUAUAAUUUGAAAAUUUUAUAAUUUAUAUUGUUAAUAAAUUUUAAUUUAUUAUAAAUAAUUUCAUUAAAAUUAAAAAUUUAAUUAAAAUUUAAUUUUUUAUAAAAAAAUUUUUUUUAAUUAUUUAAAAUUAGUUAUAAUGAUAAAAUUAGUAUAUAAGUAUUAAAGAUAAUAAAUUUAUAAUUUAGGAAAGUUAUUUUAAAGGAAUUCGACAAAAAGUUAUAUUCACCUGUUUAUCAAAAACAUGUCUUUUUGAAAAAUAAUUUAAAGUCUAAUCUGCCCACUGAUUUAAUUAUUAAAGGGCUGCAGUAAUUUGACUGUACAAAGGUAGCAUAAUCAUUAGUCUCUUAAUUGGUGACUUGUAUGAAAGAUUGGAUGAAAUAUAAAUUGUCUCUAGAAUAAGAAUAGAAAUUAAUUUUUUAAUUAAAAAGUUAAAAUAAAUUAAAAAGACGAGAAGACCCUAUAGAGUUUUAUAAAUAUUAAUUUUUAGGAAUUAAAUUAAUAGUUUAUUCAAAAAAUUAAUAAUUAUUUUAUUGGGGUGAUAGAAAAAUAAAUUGAACUUUUUUUUUAUAAAAACAUAAAUAAGUGGUUAAUUGAUCCAAUAUUUUUGAUUAAAAGAAAAAAUUACCUUAGGGAUAACAGCGUUAUUUUUUUUUUUAGUUCAAAUAAAAAAAAAAGUUUGCGACCUCGAUGUUGGAUUAAGAUAAAAUUUAAAUGCAGAAGUUUAAAAUUUUGAUCUGUUCGAUCAUUAAAAUCUUACAUGAUCUGAGUUCAAACCGGUGUAAGCCAGGUUGGUUUCUAUCUUUUAAAUAUUUUUAUAUUUUAGUACGAAAGGAUUAAAUAUUAUAAUUAAAUUAAGUUAAAUUGAAUUUUAUUAAUGAAUGAAAAUAGAUUUA